CAAAAAACGUUGAUGAGGAAUAGUAGUUGUUCGAUGACUUUCAGAGAUCUGCUGGUUGGUGUGAAGCAGAAGUUAAAAAAUGACGAACUCACCCCGGAGUUACUUGCUGAAAUGUUGCCGAUGAAGAGUUGGUGCCAUAGUAGGUUAAGUCGGACGCCCACCGUUACAGGGGAUGGAUAUCGGUUUUAUAAACCCGUAUUGAAGACAACCCAUAUAAAAAUAGAGUGGUAUAGCAGAUUUUCGUCUGUCUCGUUUGGAGACAGGCGUUUUUUUAUAUGAACAGAACCUUCAGGUAUGUGGAUAUUAAAGGGUAUCGAGAAAGUGCAUACAGUUGCCUGUAUGAAUAAGAGUGGUACCGCGGAAAACUCCCUUUUCGUCUCUGAU
rnacentral:ncRNA from 1 species